GUGAACGGACGGUGAAUCAUGAUGUCACCCGGCCAUGAGUUAAACUUAAAUUUCGUUCAGUCAGUUAUCAACUUUGGUGGUGAUCAUACGUAUACGUCGGUACUCCAUUCAUUUUUAAGAUUGGGUUAUUCAAGAUGGGAGCUGACGCACCAGCCAGACCACAAACGUUAUAGAAGUUGGAACCUAAUUACUAACGAAAGCCUUGCACAAGGAAGCCAAAGGAGCGGCACUACAGAACAAGGGAAGUAUAAGGUGAAGGCACGAUAUUGGAGCGGGACGAUGCCUAUACCAUAAGUGAAAGCGCAAACGCAAACCAGAGAUCGAGGGUAAAUUUUCAAGGGCCUCCUUUUCGUCCUGACAAACAACUCUCCUGGUGGCUUCUUUAUCAAGAACAACUAUGACUUUAGUGACCUAACCGAUAACAUCUGAGAAGUCUUGUAUGUAAAUGUCGGCCUGUUUGCUCUUCAGUCUUUGGAAAGACUUCCUGCUUCCCAAAUAUCGAAAAUUUGAUCAAGUGCAUGAAAGGAAGUUAAGUGCCACUUCCACACGAUUUUCAGCCAAAUUCCAUGAAAUGGGCUCUUAACCUUAUCGCCCGCCCGGAGAAUGAUAAGGGACACCCAUAACAGCGAAGAUUCAGCCAUCGACCUAGAGGACGACUUCUUGAAUUAUUCUGACGUCGUCCGUCGCUCCGGACCAAUUGAUGACUAACCAGGCUUGGAGGAUUAAGACUUAUUAACUUCUCAAGAAUCUCCCUGUCGUCAUGAACUUUAAUCCAUGAACCGUUUUUGUUUUGGAUUUUCUGGAUCCCUGCACCUUCGUGAGCUUG